UGGGCAGUGCUGGCUGUCCGGCAGACAUGGGGUGAGGAAGGGGGUGCCCCAGUGUUGGGCCCUGGCAGCGGGGGAUGGUGGGCCCCUGCAGAUUCAGCCCUCGCAGUGUGAGUUCGCCUUUGGCUGAGGGCCCAGGGAAGGGCCGGCUCUCCCCACCGUCCCUCCGGGAUCCACCCUGACCGGGGUUGGGGGACGGUUCGGCCCCACCCUGCUGUGUUCUCUGCCUGGCUCUGAGCUUCCUGCUUCUUUUCCGUGUGUGUGGCUGACCACGUCAGUGUCUAGGCUGAACGCGAGGCCGCCUGCAGAGCCAGGUCCCCGGGGAGAAACACCUUUGACUGUCACGGGACUUCGUUCUAGAUUCCUUCCUCCUUGGUGGCCACGUUUGCCACCGUGCUGAUGGCUUGGCCUUCCGAAGUGCACACUUUGUCCCAGAGGCGGCAAACAGCUGCCUGGGGUCUGGACGGUCUAGAGUUGACACCCCCACCCCUUGCUCCGUGAUUGGACGCCCAUCUUUUUAUGACGUCUGUCCCGAUUACCCCGCCCCGGGGAUGGCCACUCUGCAGGCUCCCUGCGGAGAGGCCGGGCUCUGCUGGCCGACCCUGAGUGGAGGGCACCUUUCCAAGGCCAGGUCUGAGGCAGGGGCCCCUCCCCUAGCGAGCCUGGGCUCGUGAGGCCGGGGGACCCCUCGACCCUCCCCGCACACCGGUCCUCACGCUCCUGCCCUCUGACCCUCCUGGGUCAUCCUGGGUCAUCAGGCCUGGCCGCUGACUGCUGAGGGUGGGGUCCCUGCCCACAGCCUGGUAAUGAAUACGCGGUGAGGGAACCUCUGGUCACCCAGCCUCCGGGCGCCGGGUCCCGAGGAAGCUUGUCCCCCUUCGUGUGUCCCCCCGGGGUUUGCACAGGGCGAGUCCGCUGUGAGCUCAGGGACAGGCCAGCCCGCCGUGCAGCCUGGUCCUGUGCAGCCUGCUCCUGUGCGGGUCCUGCUACCUGUUUCUGCACCAUUUGAGGGGCCUCUGCUCUGGGAAAUAAAUACUCUGACCCUUAAAUAGUUCACAGGAUCUUCAUCGGUGGGAAUAAUCAAUACGAAAAUAAAAGUGACCGCCAGGGA